rnacentral:rRNA from 1 species
CGUGAGGGAAAGGCGAAAAGAACCCCGGCGAGGGGAGUGAAAAAGAACCUGAAACCGUGUACGUACAAGCAGUGGGAGCACAGGUUUACCUGUGUGACUGCGUACCUUUUGUAUAAUGGGUCAGCGACUUAUAUUCUGUAGCAAGGUUAACCGUAUAGGGGAGCCGCAGGGAAACCGAGUCUUAAUUGGGCGUUAAGUUGCAGGGUAUAGACCCGAAACCCGGUGAUCUAGCCAUGGGCAGGUUGAAGGUUGGGUAACACUAACUGGAGGACCGAACCGACUAAUGUUGAAAAAUUAGCGGAUGACCUGUGGCUGGGGGUGAAAGGCCAAUCAAACCGGGAGAUAGCUGGUUCUCCCCGAAAGCUAUUUAGGUAGCGCCUCGUGAAUUCAUCUCCGGGGGUAGAGCACUGUUUCGGCUAGGGGGCCAUCCCGGCUUACCAACCCGAUGCAAACUGCGAAUACCGGAGAAUGUUAUCACGGGAGACACACGGCGGGUGCUAACGUCCGUCGUGAAGAGGGAAACAACCCAGACCGCCAGCUAAGGUCCCAAAGUCAUGGUUAAGUGGGAAACGAUGUGGGAAGGCCCAGACAGCCAGGAUGUUGGCUUAGAAGCAGCCAUCAUUUAAAGAAAGCGUAAUAGCUCACUGGUCGAGUCGGCCUGCGCGGAAGAUGUAACGGGGCUAAACCAUGCACCGAAGCUGCGGCAGCGACGCUGAUGCGUUGUUGGGUAGGGGAGCGUUCUGUAAGCCUGCGAAGGUGGCCUGUGAGGGUUGCUGGAGGUAUCAGAAGUGCGAAUGCUGACAUAAGUAACGAUAAAGCGGGUGAAAAGCCCGCUCGCCGGAAGACCAAGGGUUCCUGUCCAACGUUAAUCGGGGCAGGGUGAGUCGACCCCUAAGGCGAGGCCGAAAGGCGUAGUCGAUGGGAAACGGGUUAAUAUUCCCGUACUUGGUGUUACUGCGAAGGGGGGACGGAGAAGGCUAUGUUGGCCGGGCGACGGUUGUCCCGGUUUAAGCGUGUAGGUGUGUGUUCCAGGUAAAUCCGGUUCACUUUAACACUGAGGCGUGACGACGAGGCACUACGGUGCUGAAGCAACAAAUGCCCUGCUUCCAGGAAAAGCCUCUAAGCAUCAGGUAACAUCAAAUCGUACCCCAAACCGACACAGGUGGUCAGGUAGAGAAUACCAAGGCGCUUGAGAGAACUCGGGUGAAGGAACUAGGCAAAAUGGUGCCGUAACUUCGGGAGAAGGCACGCUGACACGUAGGUGAAGUGAUUUACUCA